rnacentral:misc_RNA from 1 species
GCAAACUUGGUCAUUUAGAGGAAGUAAAAGUCGUAACAAGGUCUCCGUUGGUGAACCAGCGGAGGGAUCAUUACAGGGUCUAACGACUGCCCAAACCACACCGUGAACCAUUUUAAACAACAAGAUGCUUUGGCAGGCCGCCCGCUGGGGGGGCCCGGGGCCGCGCUUUUCGCGGUGGCUUGCCAGUAGCACGCAGAAUCAAACUCGCAGAAUAUCUCUCUGAGAAAUAUCAUUUCCCUCGGGGAAAAAAAUAAGUCACAACUCAUAACAAUGGAUCUCUUGGCUCUGGCAUCGAUGAAGAACGCAGC